AUAUUAGAACAAAAGACACUUGGAGUCUUACUCUACAUAUAUUAGGACAAAAGACACUUGGAGUCUUACUCUACACAAACUAGGAUAAAAGACACUUGGAGCCUUACUCUACACAUAUUAGAACAAAAGACACUUGGAGUCUUAGUCUCACAUAUUAGGACAAAAGACACUUGGAGUCUUACUCUACACAAACUAGAACAAAAGACACUUGGAGUCUUACUCUACACAAACCAGGACAAAAGACACUUGGAGUCUUACUUUACACAUAUUAGGUCAAAAGACACUUGGAGUCUUAUUCUACACAAACUAGGACAAAAGACAGUCUUUCUCUACAUAUAUUGACAAAAGACACCUGACGCCUUACUCUACACUUAUUAGAACAAAAGAAGAGAUGCAAAGCUCCUGCACGUCAAAGUGAGAUUGAUAAAAUCAUGGCAAAAACAAAACAAAAAAAAAGAGCAACAGUCUACAAUCUACAUAAUAUUACAUAAAACUCUGAAGUCUGAACUAUGUAAUAAAAAAGUUAAUCUCUGGUGCUCCUGCUCCUGCUCAUCAUAUAGCACCAUCCAUCUUUCUGCCCAUUUCUUUGUCUGUCCCAUUUUCAUUUCUGCAAUCUAACUGAAGUUUGCCUCAUGCAAAUUUAACUUUAUAAAACUCAUACACAAUGCUAAGAACCACAACACUUAAACAUAGUUUUAUUUGAGGAUGAGAGUCAUUUACUGUUCUAGAGUUGGAAAAUUGCAAAGCUUGAGCAGAGCCAUUCUACUUUUAUUUUAGUUUGAAUAAAGAUUAUACUAUAUGCAGUUGUAAACCAAUGUUUUUUCCCAGUUCUCUAACUACCUUGCUUAAGGAGGCUCGAGGGUAUAAAAAUUUCAGAAAAAAAUCAAACAUUUGUUUUUAAUUACAAAUUUUAUUUAUUUCCUUUUAAUUGUUACUUUAUCAUAUGGUACAAAAAUCUUUCAAAACAAUCAAUUCGUGUUGGCCCC
rnacentral:lncRNA from 1 species